UCCCCCAACUUGCAAAACACAAUAUCCCAAAUCCAAUAUAAUCCCCAAACCCAGUCGCGACCUACCAACAGACCCCAGACCCAAACUUCGCAGUCAGAGACCGCAGCAGUUUUAGGGUUUUGAAGGCUUUGAUUCGAAGAACGGUAUUAAUGGAGGUUUUGGUUGAUUGAUUGACUAUAUUAGGGUUUUGGCAUUCUGAGUAUUGAAAAGUUUAAGGGUUUGUGUGAGUUCCAGUAGUGCGUGGAAGUUGAGGUUUAAUGGCGGAUCGGAAUACUGCGCUUGCUAAGCCUAUAUGGAUGAAGCAAGCAGAAGAGGCGAAGCUCAAGAGUGAGGCUGAGAAAGCCGCAGCUGCAAAAGCUGCUUUCGAAGCCACAUUCAAAGAUGUAGAGAAAAAUCGUGAAAAAGAACCGGCUUUGUCUGAUAGUGAAUCCGAAGAAGCUGAGGACUUGGCAAACAAGCCGAUUGGGCCGGUGGACCCUGCAAAGUGCACAGCAGCUGGGGCUGGCAUAGCGGGUGGCACGGCGUGUGCCCCAUCUUCAUUUAUGGUGGUAACGAAAGAUGCAGAUGGGAGGAAGGUGUCCAAUGGAGGUGCACAGAUUAAGGUGAAGGUGUCACCCGGAGUGGGUGUUGGAGGAUCGGAGCAAGAAGGGAUUGUGAAGGAUAUGAGUGAUGGGACGUAUACGGUUUCUUAUGUGGUGCCAAAGAGAGGGAAUUAUAUGGUGAAUGUUGAGUGCAAUGGGAAACCCAUCAUGGGUAGCCCGUUCCCAGUGUUCUUCAGUGCAGGUUCUAGCACUGGAGGACUGCUGGGUUUGGCUCCUGCCUCCACAUUCCCAAAUCUAGUUAAUCAAACCAUGCCCAAUAUGCCAAAUUAUUCAGGGUCUGUCUCGGGGGCGUUCCCAGGAUUAUUGGGAAUGAUUCCAGGCAUAGUACCUGGUGCCUCAGGGGGUGCUAUUUUGCCUGGAAUUGGUGCAUCUCUCGGGGAAGUUUGUCGAGAAUACCUUAAUGGUCGGUGUGCCAAAACUGAUUGUAAGUUGAACCACCCACCUCACAAUUUGCUAAUGACUGCAUUAGCUGCAACGACAUCGAUGGGGACUGUCAGUCAAGUUCCCAUGGCACCGUCUGCAGCUGCAAUGGCUGCUGCUCAGGCAAUUGUUGCUGCCCAAGCUCUUCAAGCCCAUGCAGCUCAAGUGCAAGCACAAUCGCAGUCAGCCAAAGAGUCAUCUGGUUCACCUGAUAAAGCUGGGAAGGCUGAGGCACUGAAGAAAACACUUCAAGUUAGCAACCUUAGCCCACUUCUCACAGUGGAACAACUUAAACAACUCUUCAGCUUUUGUGGGACUGUUCUUGAAUGUACAAUUACUGAUUCAAAGCAUUUUGCUUACAUAGAAUACUCAAAACCUGAAGAAGCAACUGCAGCUUUGGCAAUGAAUAAUAUGGAUGUCGGAGGUCGCCCUUUGAAUGUUGAAAUGGCAAAAUCUCUUCCUCAAAAACCAGCUAUUUUGAAUUCUCCACUGGCGUCAUCUUCUCUGCCCAUGAUGAUGCAGCAAGCUGUUGCCAUGCAGCAGAUGCAAUUCCAGCAGGCUUUGCUUAUGCAACAAACUAUGAAUGCUCAGCAGGCGGCAAACCGAGCUGCCACAAUGAAGUCUGCAACAGAGUUAGCUGCAGCCAGAGCUGCAGAAAUAAGCAAGAAAUUAAAAGCUGAUGGACUUGUAACUGAAGAGAAGGAAACAGACAGAAAAUCAAGAUCACCAUCCACUUCUCGUGCAAAGUCAAGGUCCAAGUCUAGAUCACCAAUCAAUUUUCGACGAAGGCGGAGGUCUCGUUCUUACUCACCUCCAUUCCGCCACCCAAGGGAUCAUAGAUCCAGAUCUCCAGUGAGAUCUCGCCAUCAUUUCAGCUAUGACGAUGAAAGGCGGUCAUAUAGAGACAUCCGAGAUGGUAGUGAGAGAACUAGAAGGCAAGAUUCAGCAAGAUCACAUAGGGAUUCUGAAAGAUCACAUGAUCGUCAUUCAUCUGCUUUAAGGAGAAAUAGGAGAAGUGUUAGCCCUCUAACAAGAAAAUCAUAUCGAGAUGAUUCAGUCUCACCAAAACGUAACCAAGAAAGUUCACUGCAUAGAUCAAGGAAAUCAUCUAAUGCCCGUUCAAGAUCACCCACUCAACGCAGAGGAGGUAGGUCAUCUCCAAGAAUUGAUGAUGAAAACAAAUCAAAACACAGAAAACGGUCUAGAUCGAAAUCUGCUGAAAGUAAGCAUCAGUCUGCCGACAAAACAGAUGAGUCUCGAGAUGAAAAAUCAAAGCAUCGUGACAGAGGGCGGUCGAGGUCAGUAUCUGCAGAAGGUAAGCAUCAUAAAAGCAGUAGGUCAUCCCCAAGAAGUUUGGAUGAAAGCAAAUAUAAGCACAGAAGGCGGUCCAGGUCUCAGUCUUUAGAAGUUAAACAUCGCUCCAGUGAGAAGUUGGACGAAUCCAGAGAUGAUAAACCAAAACAUCGUAAUAGAAGGCGGUCUAGGUCAAGGUCUUUGGAAGGUAAGCACCACUCUGAUGGGAAAGUGAAUGAAACAAGAGAUGAAAAAUCUAAACAUCGUGAAAGAAGGCGGUCCAGAUCAAGAUCUGUAGAAGGUAAGCGAUACUCCAAGGGGAAAGCAGAUGAAAGCAGGGACAGAAAAUCAAAGCAUCGUGAUAGAAGACGGUCAAGGUCUGCAUCUGUAGAGGCUAAUCAUCCUAGAGGAAGCAGGUCAUCCCCAAAAGGUUUACGUGAUAGUAAAUCAAAACAUAGGAGGCGCUCUAGGUCAAAUUCUGCUGAAAGGAAGCAUCGGUCGCAUGAUAGAGCAGAUGGGAGUAGACCUGAAAAAUCAAAGCAUCGUGAGAGAUCACGAUCCAGGUCAAGAUCAGCAGAGCACAAACAUUAUAGAGGCAGUAGUUUGUCGCCAGUAAGUUUGGAGGAAAAUAAAUCAAAACACUUGAGGCAAUCCAGGUCAGAAUCUGCUGAAGGGAAGUUUCAUUCAGAUGAUGGAAGGGAUCAAAACAGUGGUGAAAUUUUAGAGCCUAAUGAAGAUGCUGAAAAGGAACCAGAUUCCAGUUUGAAGGAUUCAACGAGAAUGAAUGACAAUGGGAUGCUAAUCGCAAAACACGAGGAUUGUAACUCGAAGGAAUCAAUGGAAAGCAUGACAGUGGAAGAUGACCAGGAUCUGAAAAGCACGUAUUUGACAAAUGUUAACGGUGGAGGAGGUUCAAUGUUGGAAAGUUAUAGAGUUUCCUUGGUUGCAGGGGAGCUAAGGGAACAUGAAGUGUCUACUACUGUGCAUUCAGAGCUAGGAAUGGGAUAUCAAAAUAAUUGUGAGAAGCCAACAAAUGUGGACAGUAGUGACAGAACUGGCUCAACCCAGAACCUGGAAUGCAUUAAUGAUGAAUCGGAGUUAAUGAAUGGAGACGGGUUUUCAAUUUCCCCAGUGCUGAAGGCUCACCAGAGAAGCUCUGUCUCACCUGAGGCAUAGAUGGUUUCCAGUGCUGAGUGAUGGGUGCAAUUUCUUGGACAAAAGCUCAGUCUAAUCUGAGAAGCUUGUUUCCAUGAAAGAUUGCUUAGUGUUUCUUUGGUGCUUGGAAAUUUCUGCCGGUUGGUGGUUCUUUAUAAACACACUUUCUGUGUUUGUUUCUUGUUUGCAGGUCCUUGUGUAAUAGACCGGAACUAUAGUCCUGAAGCUGGUCUUGCUGUGGUUUAAUUGUUUCAAGAAGUGUCAUGCUUUCAUCCAAUCGGCCAUGCAAUGUUUGUAGCAAGCUUCUUUUACUGCUUGAUGUAUCAUGGUGAUUUUUCAUUGGAGCUUUCUGACAUUCAGUUUGACAGGAUUGAUUUUCUCUGAUGUAAAUGAAGAUGUCUUGGUUAGGUAAAGGUACUCUUAAGGUCGACCAAAACCAGAUGUUGCUGGAUGAAUUGCAUCAAAAUUCCUGUGAUCAGUAUAGCAGAUUGCCAGGCUCACUUUACAGUGUUUGCUUAAAACUUGUGGUGAAAUGCGAAUGUUGAUUUUUAUCAGGUAAGUUUUCAUGCAGCUGCUGGGUUGUGUUCGGUUUUCUUUAUAGAAGCUUCAGUUGUGCUUGUGCAUAUGGUUAUUUCUUAGGUGCUGAUGCCUUUUUUAUUUUUAUAUGCAUUUGCUUGUUAGAGUGGCAAUUCCUGUGUCUUUUGCUUGUCUUUUCUCUCUCUCUCUCUCUCUCUCUCUCUCUUCCUUUUUGCCCCCAGUAUGGUAAAGCAAUGGAUAGGAUGGUUUAAGAGCUGCAUACUUUGGGGCUCGACUCUGGGAUGAAUUAUGCGUGAAGUGGAUCUCAAAAAGUAUCUUCCUGAUUUUCCUAGGUUUCGUCUUUUCCUUUUUGUUUUGUUUUGUUUUGUUUUCGUAUUAUCUUAAAAUCCUUCUUACCAUAUGUUUUUUGGGCGUUUAGCACUGGGAAGAUUAGCACACCAAUAGCAUGCUUUAUCUUGUAAAUGUAUGUAAUUUGUACUUAUUUCUUUUUUGGGCGUUUAGGUUAAAUCAGGAUUGUUAAACUAAAUCAAAUGAUCAUUGUUAGUUUCUUGCGAUA